UGAUCCUGGCUCAGAUUGAACGCUGGCGGCAUGCCUUACACAUGCAAGUCGAACGGUAACAGGUCUUUCGGGAUGCUGACGAGUGGCGAACGGGUGAGUAAUACAUCGGAACGUGCCUAGUAGUGGGGGAUAACUACUCGAAAGAGUGGCUAAUACCGCAUGAGAUCUAUGGAUGAAAGCAGGGGACCUUCGGGCCUUGUGCUACUAGAGCGGCCGAUGGCAGAUUAGGUAGUUGGUGGGAUAAAAGCUUACCAAGCCUGCGAUCUGUAGCUGGUCUGAGAGGACGAUCAGCCACACUGGGACUGAGACACGGCCCAGACUCCUACGGGAGGCAGCAGUGGGGAAUUUUGGACAAUGGGGGAAACCCUGAUCCAGCAAUGCCGCGUGCAGGAUGAAGGCCUUCGGGUUGUAAACUGCUUUUGUACGGAACGAAAAGUCUUGGGCUAA
rnacentral:rRNA from 1 species